rnacentral:rRNA from 1 species
GGUAUCCUGACCGUGCUAAGGUAGCACAAUAAAUAGCCAAUUAAUUGUUGGCGGGUAUGAAUGGAACCACGAGGGUCUUACUGUCUCAAGAGGAAAGCCGAUGAAAUUAUAAUUGUAGUGAAGAUACUACAUAAACAUUGUAAGACGAAAAGACCCUAUCGAGCUUUACUGGAUGCCGAUAGCGUUAAUUUAGAAUGAUCGAUACUAAGUAUCCUAAUUCUAAGUUAAUAAUUUUUGUUGGCAGGACAGUUUAGUUGGGGCGACUACCUUUGAAUAAGAAACGAAGGCGAGCUUAUGGUAUUAUUAAAAUCUCAUUAGCCUGACAGUGAGGGGGACACUCCUAGCUGGCACAAGGACCACAUAUUAAUAUGGGGCUCCUAUGUGGGCGAUAGUGACCCGAUAUGAUUAUCCAAGAUAAAUAUCGAAAGCGGAUAAAAGCUACCGUAGGGAUAACAGCGUAAUAUUGUCGGAGAGUUCUUAUCGAGGACAGUGUUUGCGACCUCGAUGUUGAAUUGCGGUGCCCUGGUGCUGUAGAAGGUACCUUAGGUUGGUCUGUUCGACCAUGAAAACCGUACGUGAUCUGAGUUC